rnacentral:lncRNA from 1 species
AGGGAUCGAAAACAAUUGGUUGAAAAUGUGGUAAAAUGAGCACGUCUGGUCAGCAAGUUAAAAGAAGAGUUCGAUAGCGAGGUGUCAGUGUUAAAAAAAAGGGUCGUCAUCGCGGAAAACAAAAUACUCAAACAAGCACAAGAGUUCAAACUUGAAAGGGAACAUUGUUACAUAGCAUUGGCACAAUUAGAAUUGGAUUUGCAACAGCUUAAAAAGCAGAAUCAAGUAGCCGAACAGAUUUUGGGAGCCAGAACUGAGCAGAUUGGGCGGUUAUUGCAGGA